GACCAGGCUGAUCCUGGACCAUCCCACAGAUGCUCAGUCAGAUCUGGAUGUGGGGAGUGUGGAACCCAGAUGUUCAGAGGGAGAUGAUGCCACAUCUGGUCCAGCCGAUGGAAGGUCUUGAAGUUCUCUGACUGGCCUCGACUGAAGAUGGUCGUCUCACUGGAUUUAAGGUUCAGAUGCUCAGUAACAAACUCCACCAAUGUGCCAACAGGGAAGCUUUAGCUUUAUUAAAUGUUGCUAUGAAGGUUUCGCUGUUUUUCUUUGUGAAUGCAAUGUGCUCCAACUGAAACUUGAAUUAGAACUUAGAAGUAAAUCCUUCCAUCUGAAAGGAUUUAGUUGCAUUAAUAACCUCAUAACAUUCUAAUUUUUCUUCCAGUCUUAGUUGGAAAUAGAAUCUCUGUAUUGAUUCAGGUAAAAACUGAACUUCACAGCAUGUUGGAGCAAAACAACCAGAUGAAAACUGUGAUGGUGUUGGAUUGUCAGACCGUAAUGUUGCAGCUCAAAGCAGCUUUUCUAUCUCAGUUCAUUCUGACAUUCAGCUAUGAAUCAACACAGCAGAUGGUGAUCCAUGCUGUGGAAGUCUCACAUCUCCUGAUUUAAUGGAGCUGCUUUGCACUUUUUACACUGUUUAUUCACCAACACUUUAUUUGAUAAAAGUCCCAUCUAGUUUUUAUGAGGAAUGUGAUGUUUUAAUUUCUCUGUGAAUAACUGCAGUCUAAUGCAACAGCUGGAGUUGUAACAUCUGUCCUGAUAGUGAUCAUGAAGUAUUGAUCAGAAUACUUAUGGUCAGCAGUCAUCCCUGAAGUUUUACAUUAAAAUCUUUACUUGUGUUGUGAACUUUGGUAAGAAGCAGAAACUUUAGCGUUGCCAUGGAUACAUGAAUGUUAAAUUCUGUCCAUGUUUCCAUUUUGGGAAAUGCAGUCCAGUUCCAGAAUGUGGAGGAAUUUAGUCUCAAUCACAGACAACAAAUAUUAUCUGAAAGUCGGGUUAUUGUUGUUUAUCAGCACAAUACAAAAAGAUUAAUGUUAGAAAUAUUCCAGUUAAGACUCUAGAAUAUCAUGAUUUAUGUAAAUUUACCUCAAUAAUAUGAAUGUUCAGGUUAAGAUUGUACAGUAAUAUUUAUUAUGCAAGUUUAGCUGAUUAAAGUUUAUGACUCUGCACUAAAAUAUUAUUUAAAUGGACAUCAUUAUUAUAAUAUUUAGGGUCAGAUCCUACAGUAUUGAGAUUAAGAAAUCAAAUAUUCUAUAAAAUGUAAAUACACUGAACUCAUUUGGAUAUAUUUAAGUGAGACUCUACAAUAUCAUUUGACACAAAUCUAUCUAAAUCAAAAUUUUAAUAAUUUUCACACCAAACAUUUACUGGACUGAUUUAAAUAUUAAAAUCACUCCUUUCUAAUCCUCUGCUGUACGUUCAAACCUGAGGCCUUAAAUAGAAACACACAAGUAUCUGUUUGAAGGAACUUCUGCAGAGUCCUGGUUCCACAACAUGAUGAUAGAAUUAUAGACAAACUUUAACAAAAGCUGCCUGAGAGUUUACAGGUUUUUAUGUUGGAUUUCUUCAGUAAUUUAAUGAGCAUUAUCAGCAAUAAUCAAGUGUUCAUUUGAUGAACUUCAUUUCCUAAAACAUCCAGAAUUGGAGCUCAUAUCUUUGGCAGCUGUAAAGUUUCUGCUCCUUCAAAGUUCACAACACAAUGAAUGAAUUCCUAAAACACUCUCAAUGCUGGAGAGCGUUUGUGAUGCUGAAGCAGUGAUCAGUUUUUCUGUUUAUUCUCUGGAGAUGCACAAUGAGGGACGUCUGCAGAGACUGAGAAAGAGUCUCACCACAUCCUGACAUGAGGAAAAAGACUUUAUUGAAGACUACAAUGAGAAAAACUAUCAGACAGCAGACGGCUGCAUUCAAGAGAGGAAGACCAUCAAACAUCCACGUCAGCUGAUGGAGGUCCAAGAGUCUCACCAAACAAACAACCUACAGAGUGAAGACCUCAAAUCUGAUUGGACGGCCUCCUAUUCAGCC
ensembl:lncRNA